GGUUAAGCGACUAAGCGUACACGGUGGAUGCCCUGGCAGUCAGAGGCGAUGAAGGACGUGCUAAUCUGCGAUAAGCGUCGGUAAGGUGAUAUGAACCGUUAUAACCGGCGAUUUCCGAAUGGGGAAACCCAGUGUGAUUCGUCACACUAUCAUUAACUGAAUCCAUAGGUUAAUGAGGCGAACCGGGGGAACUGAAACAUCUAAGUACCCCGAGGAAAAGAAAUCAACCGAGAUUCCCCCAGUAGCGGCGAGCGAACGGGGAGGAGCCCAGAGCCUGAAUCAGUGUGUGUGUUAGUGGAAGCGUCUGGAAAGGCGCGCGAUACAGGGUGACAGCCCCGUACACAAAAAUGCACAU
rnacentral:rRNA from 2 species